rnacentral:lncRNA from 1 species
GUCUGGUCUGGGUUGACACUACUGCAAUUAGCGGUUUAAGGUCCUGGGUUCGAUUCCUGGGGAGACCCCCGAAUUAGUCGGGAGCGCGAGAUUAUGGCUAGCUGCUGAGAUGUGGAGUUGAGGUCACAGUUGAUGGACCAGAUUCGCACGCUGGAUUGGUGGCGAUUGCCGAACCCUCCGUCUCUUCGGGUGUUCGGGUGAAUGGAUGAGGAGGGGUCCCUGAAGGCUGGAUCCGCCGCCUUGGACUUACAGUUCGUAUGGCGAAGUACAGUGUGGUAGUGGUGGAUGGUGCUAUAAGGUGAUAAAUGAUCUAGAACUGACAAUGUGAUAAAGCGGCCCAGAAGCCUCCCACUCUGUAACAUUACAUUACAUUACAUUACAUUACAUAAUAGUACUUGGGAGCUGAAGACGCCACCUCCUCGUUUGUUGCCGUGUCGUUGGGUAUAUAAGGUUAAGUACAGCGAUGACGGCAGCGUGGAGCGUUUUAAGGCGCGUUUAGUUGCCAAGGGUUUCGAGCAACGUGAGGGGAUUGAUUAUGGGGAGUUGAUGUUGUUACAGGGUGGUUAAGCUUCACCAGUGGCCUCCUUCCCGAGGCAGUUCCCUGCUCUCCCCUGCUAGAGGGGCACCCUAAGCCAUUCACCCCAUCCGACUUCAGAGUGUACUCUUUGAGUUUGGCAGCUCACCACCAGCAUCCAACCAAAUCUAGCGGAUCAACGGCGCGUCAACUUAGUUCCUGGUCAGCUCGCGAGUUGAUUUUAUCACGUCCUACACCGUCCACAAGAUGGGGGGCCACCUCCCAUUUCAUCACCUCUCAAACACCCCGAGAGGUCGGCAGGCGGAUUUGAACCCGGACGCGCUGGGACGCGACGGGAGCAGAAGCCAGGCCUUAACCUCUGCCAGCCGCCUGCCUGCCUGCCGGAGUUGUUUGCCCCUACCUCUCGUGGUUCGUCAUUGCGUGCUUUAUUAGCAGUUGCCGCAGCCCGGAACAUGACGGUACGUCAACUCGAUGUGUCUACUGCGUUUCUGAAUGGUGAGCUGAAGGAGGAGUUGUGGAUGGAGCAACCGCCUGGGUAUGCAUCCAGUGACCGGUCGCUUGCGUGCAAGCUGCAGAAGUCUAUUUACGGUUUAAAGCAGGCACCCCGUUGCUGGUAUGAAAAACUAUCAGCAGAGUUCGCCAAGUUGGGUCUUUAUCCUUCGAAGUCUGAUCCGGCGAUGUUCGUUAAGACUGACGAGCGUGGGGUUGUUAUUGCUUUGGUGCACGUAGAUGACACUAUUGUUGCGUCGGANNNNNNNNNNNNNNNNNNNNNNNNNNNNNNNNNNNNNNNNNNNNNNNNNNNNNNNNNNNNNNNNNNNNNNNNNNNNNNNNNNNNNNNNNNNNNNNNNNNNNNNNNNNNNNNNNNNNNNNNNNNNNNNNNNNNNNNNNNNNNNNNNNNNNNNNNNNNNNNNAACAUAGGUAUAUUGCGCAGCUAUUGGAGCGUCAUAAGUUGGUUGACGCCAAGCCGAGGUCUACUCCUUUGCCUCCGGGUUUUAGGUACACUCCUACGGGGGACGGAGAGGAGCUGCUGGGCAAUCCCACGGAGUAUAGGGCUUUGGUGGGAGAAUUGAACUAUCUUGCGACGAACACGCGGCCUGACAUUUCUUAUGCAUUGAGUGUUUUGUCCCGGCAUAUGGCCACACCUUCGAAGACUGCCAUGAACUUGGCCACUGGCGUUCUGCGUUACCUGGCGGGUACUCGCGAACUAGGAUUGCGUUUUGGGGGUGUUGGCGACGUUGCUAUGUCCGGGUAUAGCGAUUCUGACUGGGCAGGAGACCCAGUUACGCGGCGUUCUACGUCCGGUUACGUAUUCACUCUUAAUGGGGCUGCGAUUAGCUGGAGCAGCCAACUUCAACGUACUGUGGCGGCUUCGUCGGUGGAGGCUGAGUACCAAGCUACAGCGGCGGCUGUUCGUGAGGCUUUGUGGCUUCGCAAGCUGAUGGUUGAUUUGAGCUUGCCUGAGAGCGCGGUGAAAAUCCAGAUAGACUCCCAGGGGGCGCUUAGCUUGGGAAACAACCCAAUUACGCCUGCUCGGUCGAAGCACAUCGACGUGCAGCAUCACAUAGUGUGUGAGAGGGUGAAUAGCGGUGAGGUGCAGUUGGAAUACUGCCCUACGGAGUGGAUGGUUGCGGAUGUACUAAUGAAGGCUCUGGGCGAGGUGAAGUUCAAACGUUGCCGAGAUGCUAUGGGCCUAGUGUGAAGUGUGCAGAUGAUCUUGGUACUCGUUGGGAUACGGCCCGAGGGGGCGUGUUGAGGAAACGGUCCUCUCCCAACUCGUGUGGUUGUCGACCAGGGGAUUUGACCCCGGGUCUGCGCCUGACUAAUGGGGAAGACUUACCCCAGAACCUUAUGGGGCUAUCGAUGCAUAUCCGGUAGCUAAGUGAUAGACAUUAGGGCACCGUCUGGACGGCGCAGUGAGAUCGCGGAAUGUACGUGCAGUUAGAUCGCGGAAUGUACGAGUUUUCCGCUAGCGCCGGUAUUUAGGGCGGUGACUGCGCCUAUUAGUUUAUCUCAUAACGAUCGGUAUUCCUACCAGGAAUCUCCUCAAGUCCUGCCGAACGCUAACAAUACUCUUUACAUUACUUGUAACAGUUUAUCGUGCUAAAUAUCUUCGCCACCGGCAAUCCUUCCGAAAUAACAAUCAGCGUUAGCCGUCACCGUCGCCAAUUCUUCAAUAAAACGCUCCAUGCUGCCGUCAUCACUGUACUUAACCUUAUACACCCAACGACACGGCAACAAACGAGUACCAGGAGGUGGCUUCUUCAGCUCCCAAGUACUAUUAGCCAUCUGGGCGGCAAGGAGACUGGUCGUGAUAUAAGGGUUACAGUCUGUGGGUUAGUGGUGAACGGCUAGAGGACUUUAGGAGAUUCUUAUGAAGGAAUACCGAUCCAUCCGAAGAUGAGAUAGAAAGACAUGCACCACUCUGGUCUUAUGUACCGAUACCAACGGAAGUAUCGUACAGUCGCCCACCAUCAACGCUGGACAAGAGGGGACGUCCGAGAUACGCGGCCGGGAGACCCUAGGCAAGGUCGAGGCACGUCCGAGGCAAGGUCGAGGCACGUCCGAGGCAUCGCCUAUCACGGCGGAUUCAUCACCUAUCUACCACCUAUCUACACUUGUGUCAUAUAUUCCAGUACCAAUCGAAGUAUCGUACAGUCGUCCACCAUCCCUGGACGAGAGGACACAUCAGAGAUACACGGCCGAGAGACCCGAGACAAGGUCGAGGCAUGACCGAGGCAAAGUCAAGGCCAAGGUCGAGGCACGGUCGAGGCAAGGUCAAGGCACGGCCGAGGCAUCGCCUAUCAUGGCGGAUUCAUCGCCUAUAUACCACCUACCUACGUUGGGAUAGGACCGCCCUUCAACAGUUGAUCCGCCUUGUUAAACCACACCUCCUAGCACGGGUAGCAAGGAUAGGCCUAAGAUGCGGGGUGCACUUGAGAGCCUGUGCCGCGGUCUGGAAGGUGAUAGUGGUGAACCAGCUCGUGCUGAGACGGGGAUUUUGUGUCUUCUGCCAUCGAGGGUUUGCUGCAGUCAGAGACCAUCAAACCUUGCCCGUCAUGACCUGUGCCUUGGGCGUCGUAGAGCAGAAAGGCAAGCUUCGCCUCAUCUGGGACGGACGUGAAGUCAAUAAGCACCUGCACAUCCCACUAUGAGUCGCUUGUGCAGGUCCCAGGCUGGCUAGGCCCCAAGGACUACAUGUUCACCCUGGACCUGAAGUCUGGUUACCACCAUAUGGUCGUACGCGAAGCAGACUGGCGCUACCUUGGUUUUGAAUGGCAAGGCCAGUUCUACAUCUAUACACAACUCUUUUUCGGCCUUGCCUCCGCCUGUUGGGCAUUCACCAAGCUAAUACACGAGAUCACGCGGACUUGGAGACGGAAGGAAGGGCUGGCAGUGCUCAGGAUACAUCGAUGAUCAGAUCCACGCCCACCAGGACACCCAGACCCUCAUCAUCCGCCGCACCAUAAUCCUCGACCUCUUUGAGCGCCUGGGGUUCUGUGUGAACCGUGACAAGUCAAUGAUGGGCGAGCCCCAGCAGCAAGUGAGGUACCUGGGUAUGCUGUUAGAUACAUUAGGUACAUUGUGCCUGAAGAUAAGCGCACUUUCCUGCUCGGCUGCAUCCACUCGGCUCUGGGAAAACGGCGCAUCAAGGCGAGAAAUUGGCCUGCUUAAAAUGGCAGCUUCUGUCCAUGUCUUGGGUGUUCGGGCAAGUAGCCCAGGCUCUGGGGCAGGAUAUUGAGUCGCGCCACACCUGGGAUACCCACAUCCGCUUAUCUAACGACGCAACUGCAGAGCUCGAAUUCUGGCUGCGCUGUUUCGACUGGUUUAACGGAACCCGUGCCCUCUGGGAGCCCACACAGGUGCACUCGGUCGUUUUCUGUGAUGCAGCCAGGAAAUCCCUCAAGCACCUCGGGAGUUGGGGUGCCUGGACGCUGAUCGACGGGAAGUUGGCCCAAGCCCGCGGUAAUUGGGGAGAAUGUUAAGAAUAUGAAGGAGGCAAAGAGACUGGUCGCGAUGUAAGUAUUACAGUCGGUAGGUGAGUGGUGAACGGCAGGAAGACUUUAGGAAAUUCCUACUAAGGAAUACCGAUCCAUACAAAGAUGAGAUACCAAGACUUGCAUAACUUGUGUCUUAUAUACCAGUACCAAUGGAAGUAUCGUACAGUCGCCCACCAUCUAACUUGGACAUGAGGACACGUCCGAGAUACAGGGCCGCGAGACCCGAGGCAAUGUAGAGGCACGGCUGAGGCAAGGUCGAGGCACGUCCGGAUUCAUCGCCUAUCUACCACCUAUCUGCGUUGGGAUAGGACCGCCCUUCAACACGACCCCUCGGGACAUAUCCCAACUCUGGUCUGGUCUGGGUUGACACUACUGCGAUUCGCGGUUUAAGGUUCUGGGUUCGAUUCCUGGGGAGACCCCCGAAUUAGUCGGGAGCGCGAGAUUAUGGCUAGCUGCUGAGAUGUGGAGUUGAGGUCGCAGUUGAUGGACCAGAUUCGCACGCUAGAUUGGUGGCGAUUGCCGAACCCUCCGUCUCUUCGGUUGUUCGGGUGAAUGGAUGAGGAGGGGUCCUAGAUGGCUGGACCCGCCGCCUUGGACUUACAGUUCGUAUGGCGAAGUAUAGUGUGGUAGUGGUGGACGGUGCUAUAAGAUGACAAAUCGUAGAACUGACAAUGUGAUAAAGCGGCCCAGAAGCCUCCCACUCUGUAACAUUACAGAUAUCCCAACUCGCAGUAGCACAUUUGCUCCACCAAUGGGCGGCACUUCACACAACGCCCAUAGCUUCUCUGCACCGUUUGAACUUCACUUCUCCCAGUGCCUUCAUGAGCGCACCCGCUACCAUCCACUCUGUAGGGCAGUACUCCAACCCCGCUAUUCACCCUCUCACACACUAUGUGGUGCUGCACGUCGAUGUGUUUCGACCCAGCAGACGUAAUCG